rnacentral:rRNA from 1 species
UACGUAGGAGGCAAGCGUUAUCCGGAAUGACUGGGCGUAAAGGGUGCGUAGGUGGUUUGACAAGUUAGUAGCGUAAUUCCGGGGCUCAACUUCGGAACUACUACUAAAACUGUUGGGCUUGAGUGCAGAAGAGGAGAGUGGAACUCCAUGUGUAGCGGUGAAAUGCGUAGAUAUAUGGAAGAACACCAGUGGCGAAAGCGGCUCUCUGGUCUGUAACUGACGCUGAGGUUCGAAAGCGUGGGUAUCGAACAGG